GACGAACGCUGGCGGCGUGCCUAAUACAUGCAAGUAGAACGCUGAAGGAGGAGCUUGCUUUGCUGGAAGAGUUGCGCAGGGGUGAGUAACGUGUAGGUAUCCUGCCUGGUAGGGGGGGAUGACGAUUGGAAACGAUAGCUAAUACCGCAUAAUUGCGGUUGUUGGAUGAGAACUUUUGGAAAGGAGCAAUUCCACCACUACUAGAUGGAACUACGUGGUUGUAGCUAGUUGGUGGGGUAAAGGCUCCAAAAGGCGACGGUACAUAGACGACCUGCAGGGGGGGUCGACCCACCUGGGACUGGGACACGGCCCAGACUCCUACGGGAGGGAGCCGUAGGGAAUCUUCGGAAAUGGACGGAAGUCUGACCGCGCAACGCCGGGUGGGGGAAGAAGGGUUUCGGAUCGUAAAGCUCUGUUGUAAGGGAAGAACGAGCGUGAGAGUGGAAAGUUCACACUGUGACGGUAUCUUACCAGAAAGGGACGGCUAACUACGUG
rnacentral:rRNA from 1 species